UUUUAAUGUCUUUUUUAAAAUAUGGAAAGCUUCAGAAAUUUGUGUGUCAUUUUUGCACAGGGGCUAUGAUCAUCUUCUUUGCAUUGUUCCAACUUUAGUAUAUGUGUUGUCAAAGUGAGCAUUCAGAAGAAAUUUCUUAACUGUUGGAUUAUAUUUAUGAGACUGAAAAAGAGAUUAAUCUGGACUAAUUAUUUCUAUCAAACAUAAAAGCAUUUAGUUGUGUGCUGACAAUGGGGAAAAUGUUUCUGGCUUUUGCUAUCUUGCCCCUUCUAGUAUCUAAACAGAAACUCUUUUUCUGUUGAUGGUCUUGACAGAGCAGUGCAGCAGGACAAAGGGGUUGGGAAGAUGGGGAAAAGAAAAGAAAAAGAAGAUGGCCAGAUAUGACUAGGAAGAGGGCUGGGGAGGAGGGACGGCUGAUUGGGCAAGUGAAAUGGGUGGAGAGCAGUUGGGGGGAGCACAUGUCAGCAAGUGUGGAUUCUCUGAGUUUUGCUUUUCUGGAAAACCAGCAGUAUCACUUGGGAUCUUAUUAGAAGUUCAGAAUAGUGGCCCCACUCAGAUUCACCCAAUCAGAAUCUUCAUUUUAACAAGAUCCCCAGGUAAUUCUUAUGCACAUUAAAGUUCCAGAAGCUCUUAGUUGCCCCCAACCAGUCUGAGCCAGUCCUGAUUGGUGUCAUCAGCCUUAGACCUAUUAAUAGACAAAACUGGUUUGGUUGCCUAGAGACCUGGAAAUCUGGUUCCUCCUGUAGAAGCUGAGUCUCAGAGUUCUCUCACUACUUUGGCCAAAGCCUUGGGACUCCAGUUGGCCUCAGUUUCUCUGCUACGCAUGUCAGUUCUCAGCAGGGAUUGGAUCCUAGCCUUGGACCCCAGCUUCCUCAGCUCGGGUCCUCGUGCUUUGCCAAAUUCUUGCUCUGCCCAUUCCUCUGGGAAGCAGGAUGUGCUUUUCUACUCCCUUCUCAGCUUCUGCUGGGGACCUGCUGUGACUGGACCAAUCACCUGGAACUGUGCCUGAUUUUGACUGUUGUCACCAGGACUUCUUCCAGAACUGCUGGCAGAGAGGAUGCACUCAUAUAGCCUAAUAGUCUGGCUCAAUCUGUGUUAGUCAUGCCCUUUGACCGCUGCACACUGGUCUGCCUCGCUGCUUCCUGGGGAUGGGCCAGCUUCUGAAGACAAACGCUCUGUCCCCUCUGUCACGCUGGAUCUUGGCUUCUUCCCCCUUCCCAUGGCCUGAGCUGAUGUGGUCCCAACCUGCCUUGCACACAAAUGUCUCCUACAAAAGAGAAGGAGGCCAGCAGAGAAUGAGGGAAGCAGGCCUCAGCCCCUUCUCUCUCUUAACUUCUGUAACACUUCAUGGCACUUCAUGGCAAUGCUUGUGUGCAGACCUUGAGAUUCCAAGCAUUGCCCUUGGAGCCCUUCAGGUAAAAGAUAUCCUAAAAGUCCUGGACGACUACUGACUACAAACAGGCCCAGUGGUUUUGCAUAACUGGUACUUUUGGGUCCUUUUUCCAAGGUGGAGAAAAAUCUUUGUGGCCUGACUUACUUUAUCAAAACAGGCCAAUCCAUAUAGAAGCUCAAUAAUUUCUCUGGUUACCAUAUAACCAUUUCACUUUGACUGAUGGUGUUAUAUGUCCUGCCAUGCUCAAUUUAUGGUGGAACAUUAUACAAACUGUAUCAUCUGCUACCGUGUUUUAAGCCAGCACAAAAUGGUAUGAAGUUCACAACAAUCAGGUUGGCUGUCAGUUAUAGAGGCCAAUUUUUAUAUAAACAUUACUCUCCGCUAAUUAAUAGACCACUGACUAUAUCUUUAAGACUGUUGCAUCAUUUCUAUUCUAAGAACUAUUCUUAUGGUGAUUUAAAAAAGAAAAAAGAAGACGGAAAAAAAAGAAAGAAAACAAAAAGAAGUGUGGCAGCGCCCACAGGAGCUAAGUAAUGGUGUGGGCGUUGUUUCCGUUAUUUACAUACGUAACACUUUCACAAGAAUCCAAAUGUCUUACAAAAGAAAAUACAAAUUGCAGUAAAGAGGCGAUAACACAGUUAAGACACAAAGAAAACAAUUACCCAAAGGAAGAUUUAAAUUUGGCAUCAAUCGUCUACAGCGAAAGAAUGGAUAAGUAUCCACUGACUCUGUUUGUACAUACAAAGGUAGGCACGUGGCAGCAUUUGCCACAGUCAGAAAAGAAGUUCCAUGUAAAGUAGAAGGAAAAGUAGUAAUUAAAAAUGUCUCAUCAUUUUGAAUAAGAAGUACACGCUAUUUAAUGAAGUCACUCCAAGUUUCCAAAGUUGCAUGACAAUCUCAUUGAAUGAGCAGAGAUGGGUAAAUAUAUGAUUUUCCAAAAAGCAGUCUUGGCCAAGCAAAAUCAAAGGUCCAGGAAGAAGUUCCUCAAGAUUAGCAAGAGGAUAUGGAUAGGAAAUAGACCUAUUCAUUGCACUUUUCUGAAGGUCCAGAUUUUCUCAGGAUAGACUUUAUUGAUAAAUCAUGAAGAAACUGUAUUUGAAGUUAGUAUAAAAAACCCAGUUUUGAUGGAUAACAUGAAAACUCUCCUUUAUUUGCUUUCAGUUUUAUGCCUGAUGUUAUGUCAUUAUUUGAACAGGGUUCAAACAAACCAUUCAAACUUUUGGAAAACGGGAAACCUGGUACGGGGGCAAAAUACUCUCAGGAAAACUGUCUAAAAUGUUGCAGAGGCUUAAGAAGUGAUGAGUAUAUAGAACAACACAUCACUACUACUGCUAUGAUAACUUUAGUAUGUGCAGUUACGGUCAAACCACUCAAAAUUACAAUGUCAUUUGUCUUCUUUGUAUCUCUUUUAUUUUUACAAGUCACAUGGCAAAAUCAACAAAUACUACAUCAUCCCUCUGAGGAUUCAGCUGUGGAAAAAGCAUCUGCUAGCUCAUCUCUAGGGGAAAUCCAGGUGAGAGAAGCCCUACCCUGGAGCAUCUCCGGAAAACUCAUACAAACCAACAAGAGAGGCAACUUGGUAUAUCUGUCAAGGCCAAAGAACUCUGAUACUAGCUCUUCACACGACUACCAGGCAAGUAAGAACUUUCUUGCUCCCCUCUCCUCAUCUUCCUCCCAGUAUUCUAACCGCAGAGAAGUGUGCAGUCACCUUCUGAAAACUGCAGGGGGCAGGGAUCAGAAAAGAAAGGGCACAUGGGUUGCUCUCCUAACCCAGUUGUAGCUCUUUGUAGGAGGCUGAGAUGGGGAUGAGAGAAACCUGUUGACGUUUUUAAUGUGACAUGAAUCCAGACACGAUAAUUACUGACCAAAGGAUAUAUUGCCUGGAAGUGACUAGAAGAAUAAAAAUUUGAUCUAAAUUUCACCCAAGAGCAGAGAAAGUGCUAACUCUGGAAUAAAUCUGAAGUGUUGCUUUAUGAUUGAUUACAUCCUAUGAGUCACACUUGUUCAAUGUAACAGUUACAUAACCAUUUCUAAAUGCAAUUGAAUGGAGCAGUUCUUAUAGAACCUUCUGUAGCGUUUUCCCCUAUGAAGUCACCGUGUUUCUGUCUGAAAUUUGGAAAAUUAUAUGUCAAAUCGUCCUCACAGAGAAUUUUGUCCUUUUUACUUAUUGUUUAUCAGCACUUAUGAAAUUUCUAAACUGAAAAGCAUUAUAUGCUUGGUACAGAUUAGGUGCUCAAUAAAUGUGGAAUUAAUAAAGAAAUGAAUGGGCAGUGAAGAGAAACUCUGAUUGCCUGGGUUCUUUAUAAACCCAGGCUAUCCUCAGAUUUCUUUAUGGUAGAGUAAGAAAUAUCCCAGGUUGGUGAUUUCUGAGACAUUCCAACCAUACACUUAUGGUCUCCUUACAUGGAAUUAUAAAACAUGAGCAUUAGAAGGAAACUUAGGAGGUGAUUUAGUCCAACCCUUUCAUUUUACAGAUGAAGGCCCAAAGAAGUGAAAUAAUUUGAUUAAGGUCACCUUUUUCUAUAGUAUCAGUGCUAGGCCUGGAGACUCUGACAGCUGACUCAUUGAUAGUGACAUUCCUUGGGCUUCUUGCUAGCUUGGCUUUGGUGGAGUGAUAGCUUAUGUUCUCUUGUUCGUUUUUUCAUCAAUAAAAACAGAAGUUGCACCUAAGAAGCAAACAUGAAAUAUCUACUUGUGCUCAGAAUUGCACCUGUACUUGGAAUAGAGUGAGGAGUUAGGACCACCUACUGCCCUCAAGGAGCUUAUAGCCAAGUGGGGGAGACCAACAAGUAAAACACAACUAUAACGAAGUGGGCUAAGUGCUAUGAAAGAAAGAAUCACAGUGAGCUACUUAGAAAAAGCACCUCAUCCAGCCUAAGGGUAAUGGAGGGCUUGUUAGAGGAGGUGACAUCCGAGUUGAGUCCUGAGAAUGAGGAAAUGUUAAUAAACAUGGUGUGUUUAGCAAACCCUGAGUAUUGUACUAUGGAGGUAUCACUGAGUACAAGGGGGUGGGAAGAGAGAUGGGUCAGAGAGAUAAGCAGGAGCCCAAACAUGGAGGGAUUUCCAUGCUAUAGUAAGAUGUGUAGACUUUAUAGAAAGUCUAUCAAAAAUUACUGAAGUAUUUUUUGCAGGGGACUUAUGAGGCCUGAUUUCUGCCUCAGAUAUAACAGUCUAGCUACAGAAUGGGGAACAGCUUUGAGUGGGAUAAUGUAGGCAGAGAGGCCAGCUGGGAAACUAUUGAAAUAAUCUAGGUAAGAAAAAAUGGCAGUAGAGAUGGAAAAGGCAAAAAAAUUUCAGAGCAAUGUGCUAUGGACUGACUUGUGUACCCCUCUUCCCCUAAAGCCCAAUGUGAUGGUAUUUGGAGAUGGAGACUUUGGGAGAUAAUUAGGUUUAGAUGAGGUCAUGAGGGUGCCCCCCCCCAUGAUGGGAUUAGUGCCCUUAUAAGAAGAAACACCAGAAAACUUGCAUUCUCUUUUCACCAUGUGAGGGCAAAUUAAGAAGGCAGUCCUCUACAAGCCUGGAAGAGAGUCCUCACCAGAAACUGAACAUGCUUUGAUUUUGGACUUCUAACCUUCAGAACUGUGGGAAAAUAAAUUUCUGUGUUUAAGCUAGCUGGUCUGUGGUACUUUGUUAUGGCAGCCCUAGCUGAGUAAUACACAAAGGAAGUUGAAUGAAGGAUGUAGUGAUGUAUUAGAUGUAGGGAAUAAGGAGAGUGAGGAGCCAAGGGUUGGAUGAGUGUCCAGACUUACUGUGUAAAGAGAGAAGCCUAAAAAAGGGAACACUGGCAGAGAAAGGGGAAACUUGGUAGAGACCAAAGAGAGUAGCCAGAGAGAUUAAGGAAAAACAGAAGAGGCCAAGAGAAGGGAGUAUUUUUUUUAAAAAAGAUAAUGUUCAAUUGUGCAAAUAUUAUAAAAAUGUCAAGUAAGGUAAGGUUGAAAGGUGUCCACUGGCUUCAGUGAUAAAUGCCUUUGGAGACCUUGGCAAGAAUUGUUUCAACAUUGUGAGGGCAGAUAUGAUACCACAGUUGAUUGAGGAGAGAAUGAGAUGUUAGGAAGUAUAGACAGCUAGUACAGGAAGCACAUUUAAGAAUCCUUGCUUUGAAAUGGGGAAGAGAAGUGGAUAGGUAAUGAGAAGGGAAGGAAGCAAGGGGGAUUUUUUUAAUGAUAUAAGCUUUUUAGGAGGGAUGACGUUGAGGACAUACUAGAAGAGAGACAAUAAUUGAUGAGCAAGGUUACUGAGUGUGCAGGCCAUGAUGGACUACAUAGCUCAGAUGCAGAGACUGGCUUUAGGAGGGGCUUCAUCCUCCAUCAUGGGAGGGAAGUAAGAAUGAAUGCAGAUGUGUGCAAGAUUGUAGGUGCAGAGUCAGUCGUACCUGAUGGCUUCCGUUUUCUUCAUGAGGUAGCAGGUGAGAGUGAGGUAGGUGGUGAGAUGUUAGGAAAGGGGAUGGAGGAGGUGGCUUCAGUGACUUGUGUGAGGAAUGGGAGAGAGAAACAGGGCUGACGAUAAACCCAGUAGGCAUGGCUGGCAGCAUAGGGGCAACUGGAAAUUUUAUUCCAUGGAAUUUUGGUGCACCAAUUCCCUCCACUGUGCAAUUUUUCUUCUUCAUACUUAGCUGCAUAAACAUAGAAGAAG